CCGCAUGGUUCAAGGAUGAAAGACGGUUUCGGCUGUCACUUACAGAUGGACCCGCGGCGCAUUAGCUAGUUGGUGAGGUAACGGCUCACCAAGGCGACGAUGCGUAGCCGACCUGAGAGGGUGAUCGGCCACACUGGGACUGAGACACGGCCCAGACUCCUACGGGAGGCAGCAGUAGGGAAUCUUCCGCAAUGGACGAAAGUCUGACGGAGCAACGCCGCGUGAGUGAUGAAGGUUUUCGGAUCGUAAAGCUCUGUUGUUAGGGAAGAACAAGUGCAAGAGUAACUGCUUGCACCUUGACGGUACCUAACCAGAAAGCCACGGCUAACUACGUGCCAGCAGCCGCGGUAAUACGUAGGUGGCAAGCGUUGUCCGGAAUUAUUGGGCGUAAAGGGCUCGCAGGCGGUUUCUUAAGUCUGAUGUGAAAGCCCCCGGCUCAACCGGGGAGGGUCAUUGGAAACUGGGAAACUUGAGUGCAGAAGAGGAGAGUGGAAUUCCACGUGUAGCGGUGAAAUGCGUAGAGAUGUGGAGGAACACCAGUGGCGAAGGCGACUCUCUGGUCUGUAACUGACGCUGAGGAGCGAAAGCGUGGGGAGCGAACAGGAUUAGAUACCCUGGUAGUCCACGCCGUAAACGAUGAGUGCUAAGUGUUAGGGGGUUUCCGCCCCUUAGUGCUGCAGCUAACGCAUUAAGCACUCCGCCUGGGGAGUACGGUCGCAAGACUGAAACUCAAAUGAAUUGACGGA
rnacentral:rRNA from 2 species